UUCAUCCGAUCCGUUCAUCAGGCGUGACUCAUUGGGAUGAAUGGAAAACACCAAAAACAGCCUCAUUCAAAAUUCAGAUAGGCCAAAACUCAUGCCACGAAAGCAAAGUUUCCAACCUGAUGCACGGAAUAGAUUUUGCGUAUAGGACAUGGUGGGUCCCACAGAGAGCCUGGGUGUUUUCUGCGCUGGUGUUGUAGACUGUUCCGGCACAUUACUGCCUGUGUAUCAUCUGUCAGACUGCCGGAGUAUCAAAGACAAUAUAUAUUGAGCGGGACGCUGGUGUUGGAUAAUUCCUCCUUGCCGAGCACAGGCAACGGAGAUUCAGAGAAGAGAAAUAGUAUAAAACUCGUCCGAAUCGACUCAGUUCCGAUUCAUCACAGAUAAAGGAAUGGCGAGCAAUCAACAACAGGAGCAGAUAGGAGGAGAAGAUCUCAAGCCUUCGGAGGCUUCUAGAGACUCGGAUGAUUCGAAACUCUCCCCAAACAGCCCUGAUAAAAACCUAACCCUAACCGAAACCCAAUCUCCUGCUUCCAACACCAGCAGUAGCAGCAGCGGAAAAGGGAAAGCGAAAAUGGAAGAAGAGACCGAUUCGGCAGGGACAUGCGGAAUCUGCUUCUUGGAGGAUGACGGGCAGGCGAUCCGUGGGUGGAUCGACAGCUGCAAUCACUUCUUCUGCUUCGUCUGCAUCAUGGAGUGGGCCAAGGUCGAGUCUCGCUGCCCUCUGUGCAAGGCUCGCUUCUCGAUCAUCCGUCGCGCACCCAAGGAUGGGCUCUUCUCUCAUGAGCGGGUUGUCAACGUCCCUGUCCGCGAUCAGGUUUACCAUCCUCUUGGAAAUGGAACAGUUGGACCUUAUGACCCCUAUGCACAAACCCUUUGUACUGAAUGCCAAAGCUCUAAGGAUGAGAAUCUUCUAUUGCUUUGUGACCUCUGUGAUUCUGCUGCUCAUACUUACUGUGUUGGUCUGGGGGUAACUGUACCCGAGGGUGAUUGGUACUGUCAUGAUUGUUCUGUUUUAAGGAACGAACACCCAAAUAACCAAAUGGAUGGUGAUUCUUGCAAUCAAGAUUACCCAAGAAACUUUGAUACAAUCCAAGGGGCUGCCUCAGAUUUUUCAAUUUCUGAUAUCAUACGAGAUGAAACAGCUUUUUAUGAGGUGCCACAGCAGAGACGCACCAGUUACCAAAUGCAUGGAAAUCAAAUUGGGAAUAGGCCAUCUAGAACAACCAUAGCUAAGGAAUCUCAAGGUUUACAAUCAUCAUCCCCUGCCGUUGUGGUCAGGGAACGUGAGCAUGAUACGAGAACCUCACUCCAUUCAGAUGAUAGGCCAUUGGGCAGUACCAUAGCUACUCGGGAUUCUCAACGUUUGCACUCCUCAUCCCUGGUCACUCCCAUCAAGCAAGGUGCAAGAACCUUACGCCGUUGCCGCAAGUUGCAUGGUCGUAUACGGGCACUACGUGCAAAUUGGAGUUCCCUGCGGAGUGGGUCAAUGAGCUUCCCAUCAAGUAUCCCUGAUUCUGGUGGUGCUAGUAACAAUAGAAGAUAUGGCGGUAGAGCAGUAACGUCUGAUUACUCGAGUCAACCACAGUCCUCAUCUUCUGUGAAAUGUGAUGGUGUUUCUAGUGACAUGUUGAAGAACAGAGACUCAUAUGAUGUAGACAGAGCUUGGAAAAUGAUGGAUAUUGCAAAAUCAGUACAAAAGGCUCGAGGAGGGGCUGGAUUUGAUCAGAAGAAUUCUAACUGUCUGGCUAUCAAAAGAAAGUUUCAAGUGGAAGCAAACCAUGCAAGCACAAGUUCCUUAAUGUCAAACAGUAAGCCCUCAGAGAAGGCAUCGGAUAUCAUAACAUCAGAAAACAACUGCAAAAAUUAUUCUCUUGAACCAUUACGUGAAGAACAUAAAUGUCAGAAGUACGAGAAACAAAAGCUUGGGAGAGAUAUGAUGAACAGCAUGUCACAGAUUGAUAAAGGCCCCACAGGACCUCCCUUAUUACGAUGUCGUGAAAUGCAAUCUGCUAAGCAGUUUCGGAAGUCUUCUCACGUGGAAGUUUCUCGAGGAAAUGGAAAAUCCAAAUUAGUUAAUGUACAGGAGAUGCCUCCUUGCUCAAGCUCUCGCACUAAUUCAUUGUUAGGAGGGCCUGGUCUGUCUGUUAAUAUUACUGAAACUGUUUCAUCAUCUACUUGCAUGAUGGAGGUUCAGAAGGGUAAAAGUGGAAGGAACAAGAACGCUAAAGUUAUGCUAAGGAAAGAUGAUGGUGCUAAGAGCGAGGUUCAGUCAUUGGUUAAGCUCAACUUAAAGAUGCUAAGUUGUGGUAGACAGUUAGAUUUGACAUCAGGCCUUUUAUCUGAUCAUCAAUCUGGACACUUGAUGAAGUACAUAUUUGCAAUCUAAAGGGUAGGAUAGUCCAGAUGUUAGACCUGGAUGUCUAUAUUUCCGAGCUUGACUCUUGGAUGGGCCUGGUCUCCACUGCUUCACAAUCUUACAGUCUGAUCUUUGAUUGGCCAGAUUGUUGGACUCAUCUAGGACCUACCCAACUGAUAUGUGCCCAGAUGCAUCACUCCCCUUCAUUGGGCUGACAAAUUCAAGGAAAUUGCAAAGCUUGCAACUCACACCAUCUUGGCAGCGUGUGGGCUAGAGCACUCAAAAUCCAGCGCCCGCUCCUUUCCUAUCUCGAUUUGCAGGCACAUCGAGCAUUUACAGCAGCUUCAUG